UUUGCUUGAAACUAUUUGAGAUGCCUGGCAGAGGAAACUUAAUUUACCCCCAUUAUAUAAGGAAACACAGUCACCGCCUGGUCCUGAGUUGAUGCACUCUCUAACUGUUCACCAGAAAAUUCCCCUGCUUCUUAAACAGGAGUCACCUAUGAACUGACUGCUGGUAUACAGUUGUCACCUUUUGAAAAAUGUGCCUAUUUCUGGUAAGUCUGCCCUGCUGCUGCAGAGAUUCUCAUGCCACCAAAGUCCAGGAGAAGUCUGGUGAUUUCCAGGACCUACAAAGUCUGGAGUAUAACAGUACAGCUUCUGCACAAACUCAGUUGCAAUUUUCUGCACAGUUGGUGAUCCUAUUAUAUUUUUGCAGACUGGGUUUUGAAGGAUCUUAAUGACCAGCUGUUGGCAAGCACUUGUCAACAUCUGAUGCUCAGUACUGUACCUCACUUUAAAUCUACAGUAUAUAACCAGCUUACUGAUAGCAAGUUAUUGACAGUUUAUUGAGGUUGACUCUGUAAACCAGUGUUCUCAAUCUUGUACUUUGCUGACUGUUAUCACGUUUUUGAGCCUUGGCUUUAGAGUGUACAUCUUUGGAUUUUGACGCAUGACUUGGAUCAUUUCCCUUUUUGCAUUUGACCCCUGGAUUAGACAUGUACCUGCUAAUUUACCACUGGCUACCCUCUGAACCACAGAAUCUUCUGAAUCUCUAUACUGACCGUAACACUUAAAGGUUGUGCAGUCCAGAGUUCUCCACUGAUCCUCAAGCUUAAAUACCGACCCAGCUCACGUCUGAAUAUCUGGUACUGAUAUAUAUUCUGGACACUCUCGAGUUGCAUCACUAUACUAACUGUUUGCAGUGAGAGAUUGGAUUCUGCUAACACACAAGCAUGGUGACAUUUUUUUACUUUAUCUCAAUGACAUACUCAUUUUCUCAAAUUCCCCAGAAGAACAUCAAUAACAAGUUCCAACUGUGGUGGAAUGUCUUCACAAGUAUCAUUUAUACAUUAAAUUGGAAAAAUGUGAUUUCCAUCAUACAACAGAUAUAUGAAUUUCUCAUAUAUUGUUCCUAUGUUGCUGGAAUUUUGCUUUCAGUGUUGUUUGUUCUGCCAAUAUAUUGGCAAUGGCAGCUACACUCAUAUAUAUAUAACGUGAUCAGUGUUGUAAUUUAUAUAGCUUGUUAUUAGGAACUCUAGCUUAGUCACAUUUAAAUAAAAUGUUUUCCUUUUAUGUACAAUAAAUCUACCUGUAAGGCAAACACUGUUAUGCCAUCUACUGUAUAGUAUCCUAUUAAUUUGGGUAGCAAAUCUUUCCCUUUUCAUGUUAACAUUUCUUUGUUUGCUCCUUUGAGAAAAACUAGACAAAAUAAUAUUUCAUAGAUUAUUAGACUUCUUAAAUAUUAGUUGUGAUCAAUUACCUUUUGUAAAAUCAAAUGUUGUUUGGGGAUGGUGAAGUACAGUACUUCAUAAAAGGGUCCAUGUUUUAUUAUAUUUUAUU